rnacentral:rRNA from 1 species
AUACGGAGGGUGCAAGCGUUACUCGGAAUCACUGGACGUAAAGCGCGCGCAGGCGGGCUGAUAAGUUGGAUGUGAAAGCCUACGGCACAACCGUAGAACUGCAUCCAAAACUGUCAGUCUAGAGUGUGGGAGAGGAAGAUGGAAUUAGUUGUGUAGGGGUAAAAUCCGUAGAGAUAACUAGGAAUACCAAAAGCGAAGGCAAUCUUCUGGAACACUACUGACGCUGAGGCGCGAAGGCGUGGGGAGCAAACAGGAUUAGAAACCCCAGUAGUCC